rnacentral:rRNA from 1 species
ACGAACGCUGGCGGCGUGCCUAAUACAUGCCAGUUGAGCGCUGAAGGUUGGUACUUGUACCCCCUGGAUGAGCAGCGAACGGGUGAGUAACGCGUGGGGAAUCUGCCUUUGAGCGGGGGACAACAUUUGGAAACGAAUGCUAAUACCGCAUAAAAACUUUAAACACAAGUUUUAAGUUUGAAAGAUGCAAUUGCAUCACUCAAAGAUGAUCCCGCGUUGUAUUAGCUAGUUGGUGAGGUAAAGGCUCACCAAGGCGAUGAUACAUAGCCGACCUGAGAGGGUGAUCGGCCACAUUGGGACUGAGACACGGCCCAAACUCCUACGGGAGGCAGCAGUAGGGAAUCUUCGGCAAUGGACGAAAGUCUGACCGAGCAACGCCGCGUGAGUGAAGAAGGUUUUCGGAUCGUAAAACUCUGUUGGUAGAGAAGAACGUUGGUGAGAGUGGAAAGCUCAUCAAGUGACGGUAACUACCCAGAAAGGGACGGCUAACUACGUG